rnacentral:rRNA from 1 species
CAAUAGCGUAUAUUAAAGUUGUUGCGGUUAAAAGCUCGUAGUUGGAGUUCUGCCAGGUGCCGCCUGUCCGCCCCAGUGGUGAGUACGUGGCGCGCAUUUGGCCCUUUCAAGGGGGGCGUAUCUGCACUUUAUUGUGUGGUGCGGGAUCCUUGACUUUUACUUUGAGGAAAUAGGAGUGUUCCAAGCAGGCUCUCGUCGUGCACAGCUCAGCAUGGAAUAAUAGCAUUGGACCUCGAUUCUAAGCUGUUGGUUGCCAGAAGCGAGGUAAUGAUGAAGAGGGAUAGUUGGGGGCAUUCGUAUUAACGCGUCAGAGGUGGAAUUCUUGGAUUGCGUUACGACGAACUACUGCGAAAGCAUUUGCCAAAGAUGUUUUCAUUGAUCAAGAACGAAAGUAUGGGGAUCGAAGACGAUUAGAUACCAU